rnacentral:rRNA from 1 species
AUUGAACGCUGGCGGCAGGCCUAACACAUGCAAGUCGAGCGGAGCGGCGGACGGGUGCGUAAUGCCUAUGAAUCUGCCUGUUCGUGGUGGAUACCGUCCGGAACCGGGCGCUAAUACCGCAUCCUCUCCGAUUAGCCUUGGUCGGGUUAGCUAGUUGGUGGGGUAAAGGCCUACCAAGGCGACGAUCCGGAACUGGUCUGAGAGGAUGAUCAGUCACACUGGAACUGAGACACGGUCCAGACUCCUACGGGAGGCAGCAGUGGGGAAUAUUGGACAAUGGGCGAAAGCCUGAUCCAGCCAUGCCGCGUGUGUGAAGAAGGUCUUCGGAUUGUAAAGCACUUUAAGUUGGGAGGCGUUACCAACAGAAUAAGCACCGGCUAACUCCGUGCCAGCAGCCGCGGUAAUAC